ensembl:lncRNA
CCGAGGGAAAGUUCUCCCUGAGAGCUUUUCAUUUGGUGCGUUGGCCGGGAAAGGAGAUCCUCCACCCAGGGACCACCGACCACCCACUGGGAGGUAAGCCGGCCGGCGUCUGUCUGAUUCUGUCUCGUUCUGCCUUAUUCUGUCUGUUCUGUGAGCGCUCAGCCAGGUCUGUUCUGUGAGCGCUCAGCCAGGUCUGUUCUGUGAGCGCUCAGCCAGGUUGUUUGGAAUUUGGGCGGGACGAAGAAGGAGCUGACGAGCUCGGACUUCUCGCCCCGCAGCCCUGGAAGACGUUCCAAGGGUGUUAGGGGCCCGACUUUUCGGAGCCCAAUCUGGGAGAGGAGAAAGAUCCGGACUAACGGCACCUCUGUCUGUAUUUUUGGCUUUCAGAGGGCCCCGGACCUUUGCCACCUCCAUCUGACUUUUUGCUUUCAGUUUGGUACCAAAGCCGUGCAGCACGCCUGUCUGUUGUUUGUUUGACUGUUGGUGUUGUUUGUUUUCUCUGUGUUCUAAUCUUCCUUAGAACUAACAUGGGACAGUCCCUAACAACGCCCCUAAGUCUCACUCUUGAUCAUUAGAAAGACGUCCACGACCG